UACGUAGGGUGCAAGCGUUAAUCGGAAUUACUGGGCGUAAAGCGUGCGCAGGCGGUUAUGUAAGACAGAUGUGAAAUCCCCGGGCUCAACCUGGGAACUGCAUUUGUGACUGCAUAGCUAGAGUACGGUAGAGGGGGAUGGAAUUCCGCGUGUAGCAGUGAAAUGCGUAGAUAUGCGGAGGAACACCGAUGGCGAAGGCAAUCCCCUGGACCUGUACUGACGCUCAUGCACGAAAAGCGUGGGGAGCAAACAGG
rnacentral:rRNA from 1 species